UGGCUUCAUAAAAACAAUCAUUUUAUUUUAUUUCACAAUUUUGUUGGUCAUAAAUUCAAGGAGGGCUCAGUUGCAGAUUCUUCUGCUCCACGUAGCAUCAACUGAGGUCACUUGGUGGUAUUCAACUAAUAGAUGGGUUGGUCUCUGAGAACCUCACUGUAUAAGAAAAAUCCAGAUUUUUCCUUCCUAUCUUGGGAAAAAUCCAGUUCUUCCCUAUUACGAGUUUCUUCUCUGUGAGUCUCCUUUACUACUGCCACAGAACGCUUGACUUCUGAUUGACCACCAAAUGUGUGGAGGUUUUUCCCCACAACAAGCAAUUCUCUGUGACACCAGCUUGGUGUCCUACGACUCAACUCAAUUCUGACACAAAGAUAGUGUCAGAUCCCACAGGUGAAGGGCUCAGUCCCACAAGACUGCCCCCCGCUUCAGACACCAGUUGCAGGCCCAGGCUAUCACCGGUGCUUCUGACCAACCAGCUACAGAUCAGAGGUUUCAACAUCUCCUUCUUGGGUUGGAUUAAUUUGCUAGAGCAGCUCACAGAACUCAGGGAAACACUUACUUAACUUACCAGUUUAUUAAAGGACAUGAUAAAAAAUACAGAUGAACAGCCAGAUGCAUAGGGCCAGGGCUGGAAGGGUCCUGAGCACGGGAGCUUCUGUCCCCGUGGAGUUGGGGUGCGUCACCCUCCCAGUGUGGAUGUGUUCGCCCACCUGGAAGCUCUCCAAUCCCCUCCCGUUGGGAUCUUAUGGAGGCUUCCUCACUAGGCAUGAUCAGUUAUUAACUCCAUUUCCAGCCCUUCUCCCCUCUCUGCAGGAUAGGGGAUGGGACUGAAAAUUCCAAGUUUCUAAUUAUAGCUUGGUCUUUCUGGUGACCAGCCUCCACCCAGGAUCUCACCCAGGGUCACCUCAACAGAACAAAGGUGCUCCUAGUGCUCUUAUCACUUAGGAAUUUACAAAGGUUUAGGAGCCCUGUGGCAGGGAUGGGGUCAAAGACAAAUACUAGAACAAGAGAUGCUCAGAGUGCUCUUAUCAUGUAGAAAAUUACAAAGGUUUCAAGAGCUCUGUGCCAGGAACCAGGGGCAGAAGCCAAUGUAUAUUCUGUAUCAUCUCAUGCUCACUCAUAUGAGGAGCAUGCUGGAGGGACGACGCUAAGGCUGUGCUCAGCUGAGACUGUCCACUCGAGCGCCUAUGCUUGUCCUCUCUGUGUGAUUAGCCAGCACUCCUCACAGCAUGGUGGUCGCAGGGUAAUCAGGCUCUUGCACAGUGGCUGGAUUGCUCCAGAGUGAGCAUUCCAAUGGGGUAAGUGGAAAGUACAUGAUUUCUUAUGACCUAGCCCCAGAAGUCCCAGAACAUUACUUCCACUGCAUUCUGUUGCUCAAGUGGGGUCUAAGCCCAACCCAGAUGCAAGGAAAGUAGAGCAAUAGGUUUUACCUCUUGAUGGGGAAAUUGCCUGUGUUCAGGGUGGGAAGUAAUUGGUGAGAGACAUCAUGGAGACAAGUUACCACAAAUAGAAAAUAUCUAAACUGAAGCAGAGAUUUUAAAAAAUAAAAUAAAAUACAGAAAAGAGUGUUAGAGACAUGUGGAACCCAGGAAUAAGAACUGAAACCUGAGAACUGGAGUCCUGUAAGAGAGGAGUAAGAAUUGGAGCAGAAGCAAUAUUUGAAGAGAAUGACUGAGAAUUUUCCAGAAUUAAUUAGAGACAUCAAAGCACAAAUUCAAGUAACACUGCAAACCCCAGCAGGAUAAAUACAAAGAAAAACCACACUUUGUAUAGUAAGAAUGCUGAAAAACAAAGGAAAAAACAGUAAAUCUUAAAAGCAUCCAAAGAAAAAAGAUACAUUCCCUUCAAAGAAGCAACAAAUAAGAUUGACAGCUGACUGCUCAGCAGAAAGGACACACAGUGAAACAGCAUCUCUGAAAUACUGAAGCAAAAUAAUUCCCAACCUAGAACUUUAUAACCAAAGAGAAUGUCCUUCAAACAUGGAGGGAAAUAAAGACCUUUCAAACAUACAAAAACUGAGAGAAUUUCUUGUCAGUAAAUUUAUCAUUAAACCUAAAACUUCAGAAAAGUUCUUAAGACAGAAGAAAAGGGAACCAAUAGUGAAUUACAGAAUUGAAGAAAAGAAUGAAAAGCGCAGAAAGGGUAAAUAUAUGGAUUAAAAUAAAUGAAUAUUGACUGAGCAGUGACUAUACAAAACAAUAAUGGUAACAUUAUGUGGGGCCUAAAAUACAUGUAGAAACAAAACAGAAACUAACAGUAAUGCCAAAUCCAGGAAAAGUCUAUGGAAUUGAAAGGUUUUAAGCAUCUGUAAUUAAUAGAGAAAUGGUAAAAAGUAAUAACUUGCAUUAAGAAAUGGUAAAAAGCAAUAAUGUGUUGCAUUUGCAACAAGAAUUCUUGUUGCAGUCUCUAGGUUAACUACUAAAAGAAUGAUAAAAGAAGUAUAGCUAACUAUAAAAGGAAGCAAUUAAAAAUAUUUGAUCGUCCAAAAGAAAUCGAUAGUAAAAAGAAAAAAAAAACCAUAUAACCGCCACCGGUUAUAAAGAGAAAAAAAUUAAUAAGGUGGUAGAUAUCGACAAAAUUAUACAUUAAAUAUGAAUAAUCUAAAUAUUUCCAAGUAAAAGAUCACAAUUGUCAGACUAGAUUUUUAAAAAUCAAUCAUAUACUACUUAAAGAAAAUAAACCUUAAAUACAAGGACACAAAAAGAUUGGAAUUAAAAGGAUGGGGGAAAAUAUACUAGGCAAAUAUUAACCAAAAGAAAUUUAGUCUAAUCACAGUAAUAUCAGACACAGGAGAAUUUAAGGCAAGAACCAUUAGGAAAGGUAAAAAGAGACACUGUA
rnacentral:lncRNA from 1 species